GCCUCUGAAGCUGUAGCGGCACAGCACCGGUCUCUUAAACCGGAGAUUCCGGGUUCAAGUCCCGGUGGAGGCACCA
rnacentral:tRNA from 1 species